rnacentral:rRNA from 1 species
AACGAACGCUGGCGGCAGGCUUAACACAUGCAAGUCGAGCGCCCCGCAAGGGGAGCGGCAGACGGGUGAGUAACGCGUGGGAAUCUACCCAUCCCUACGGAAUAGCUCCGGGAAACUGGAAUUAAUACCGUAUACGCCCUACGGGGGAAAGAUUUAUCGGGGAUGGAUGAGCCCGCGUUGGAUUAGCUAGUUGGUGGGGUAAAGGCCUACCAAGGCGACGAUCCAUAGCUGGUCUGAGAGGAUGAUCAGCCACAUUGGGACUGAGACACGGCCCAAACUCCUACGGGAGGCAGCAGUGGGGAAUAUUGGACAAUGGGGGCAACCCUGAUCCAGCCAUGCCGCGUGAGUGAUGAAGGCCUUAGGGUUGUAAAGCUCUUUCACCGGGGAAGAUAAUGACGGUAGACGGAGAAGAAGCCCCGGCUAACUUCGUGCCAGCAGCCGCCGUAACAC